CAAUAGCGUAUAUUAAAGUUGUUGCAGUUAGAACGCUCGUAGUCGGAUUUCGGGGCGGGCCGACCGGUCUGCCGAUGGGUAUGCACUGGUCGGCGCGUCCUUCCUUCCGGAGACCGUCCCUACUCUUAACUGAGCGGGGGCGGGAGACGGGACUUUUACUUUGAAAAAAUCAGAGUGUUUCAAGCAGGCAGCUCGCUCUUGCAUGGGUUAGCAUGGGAUAAUGAAAUAGGACUUUGGUGCUAUUUUGUUGGUUUCGAACACCGAAGUAAUGAUGAGAAGGGACAGUCAGGGGCACUCGUAUUCCGCCGAGAGAGGCGAAAUUCUCAGACCAGCGGAAGACGAACCACUGCGAAAGCAUUUGCCAGGGAUGUUUUCACUGA
rnacentral:rRNA from 1 species